rnacentral:rRNA from 1 species
UCAAGCUACAAAGAGCGCGAGGGGAAUGCCUUGGCGCCGGGAGCCGAAGAAGGACGCGGCAAACAGCGAAAUGCUCUGGGGAGCCGUAAGCAGGCAGAGAUCCAGAGAUAUCCGAAUGGGGAAACCCGGCUGGAUUUAAAACCAGUCAGUGUGUAAUGAACAAAAUAGUUACACACGGGGAACCGCCCGAACUGAAACAUCUAAGUAGGGCGAGGAAAAGAAAUCAAACGAGAUUCUGUUAGUAGUGGUGAGCGAACGCGGAAGAGGCCAAACCGAAAGUAGAAAUAUUUUCGGGGUAUGGUUAUAGCGAGAAAUCGAGUUAAAUUGAGAGCAGAACGGUCUGGGAAGGCCGGCGAUACAGCGUGAGAGCCGCGUAUGCGAAUCGAGCUAACGAGAGAGUUAUAACCAGAGUACUGCCGGGCACGAGAAAUCCGGUAGGAAGACGGGGGGACCAUCCUCUAAGCCUAAAUACUACCCGGCGACCGAUAGUGAAGAGUACCGUGAGGGAAAGGCGAAAAGAACCCCGGGAGGGGAGUGAAAUAGAACCUGAAACCUCGUGCUUACAAGCACCGAGAGUCCUACUUUGGGGGUAGAAAUAUACCCAAAAGGAUGAUCGGGUACCUUUUGUAGAAUGGUCCGGCGAGUGAAUAGCACAAGCGAGGUUAAGUAUUUAAGAUACGGAGCCGAAGGGAAACCGAGUUUUAAAAGAGCGAAAAGUUUGUGAUAUUCGACCCGAAACCGGGUGAGCUAUUCAUGUCCAGAUUGAAAUAGAGGUAAAACUCUAUGGAGGAUCGAACCGACUCCCGUUGAAAUGGUAGCGGAUGAGGUGUGAAUAGAGGAGAAAUUCCAACCGAACCCGGAGAUAGCUGGUUCUCUCCGAAAUAGCUUUAGGGCUAGCCUCGUACACAGAUUAUCGGAGGUAAAGCACUGAAUGGGCUAGGGACCGAAAGGUUACCGAACUCUAUCAAACUAAGAAUGCCGAAUAAUUGAUAUACGGGAGUCAGACAGCGUGAGAUAAGUUUCGUUGUCGAAAGGGAAAAAGCCCAGACCCACAGUUAAGGACCCAAAAUAAGUUUAAGUGGAAAAGGAUGUAGAGUUGUACAGACAACCAGGAUGUUGGCUUAGAAGCAGCCAUUCAUUAAAAGAACGCGUAAUAGCGCACUGGUCGAGUGACUCUGCGCCGAAGAUUUAACGGGGCUAAAAACUUAUUCCGAAACUUGGGAAUCUAAAAUAAAUAAUUAUUUUUUAGUUCAUAUAUUUUUUUAAUUUAUUUAAAAUUAAAUCAAGAUAUAAUAAUAGAAAUAAUUAAAAUUUUUAGUAUAUAUUAUAUAUUUAAGAGAUUUUAUUUGUGUAAUUUUGAUAUAAAUAUUAUAUAAAUUUAAUAAAUUUUAUGUAAUUUUAAUAUAUUUUUAAUAUAUUAAUAUAUGAUAUAAUAUAUAUAGAUUGGUAGGAGAGCGUUGUAUAUUAGGCGAAGUCAUAGCGGAAGCGAUGGUGGAUGAUAUACAAGAGAGAAUGCCGGAAUGAGUAGCGAGAAAUAUGUGAGAAUCAUAUUGGCCGAAAAUCUAAGGAAUUUGGGGGAAGGUUCGUCCGCCCCAAUUUAGUCGGGAGCUAAGGCGAGGCCGAAAGGCGUAGUCGAUGCACAAACGGUUAAUAUUCCGUUACCGCUGAAUAAUUUAAGCAAGAUGACGCUUUAGAAGGGCAUGACCCAGUGAACGGUAGAACUGGGCGUAAGGGACCGAAAAUUAGUAGGGAAGCAUGCUUAAAUAGAGACAAGAAAAGUCUUGCGGGAUAUUAUUAAGCGCCCGUACCGCAAACCGACACAGGUAGAUAGGAAGAGGAUUCUAAGGCCAACGGGAGAAGGGUAGUUAAGGAACUCGGCAAAAUGACCCCGUAACUUAGGGAAAAGGGGAGCUCACUGCAAGGUGAGCCGCAGAGAAUAGGUCCAGGCGACUGUUUAUCAAAAACACAGGUCUGUGCUAAAUCGAAAGAUGAAGUAUACGGGCUGACGCCUGCCCGGUGCCGGAAGGUUAAGAGGAGAGGUGCAAGCCCCGAAUUGAAGCCCCGGUGAACGGCGGCCGUAACUAUAACGGUCCUAAGGUAGCGAAAUUCCUUGUCGGGUAAAUUCCGACCCGCAUGAAUGGCGUAACGAUCUGGGCACUGUCUCGACUACCCGCCCGGCGAAAUUGUAGUACCGGUGAAGAUGCCGGUUACCUGCGGCAAGACGGAAAGACCCCAUGGAGCUUUACUGUAGCUUGAUAUUGGGUUUUGAUUAUAUAUGUACAGGAUAGGUGGGAGGCAAAGAAAUACAGACGUUAGUCUGUAUGGAGCCGACGUUGGGAUACCACCCUUAUAUAAUUGAAAUUCUAACCAACGGCCGUUAUCCGGCUGGGGAACAGUGUCAGGCGGGCAGUUUGACUGGGGCGGUCGCCUCCGAAAGAGUAACGGAGGCGUUCAAAGGUUGGCUCAACGCGGACGGAAACCGCGCAAAAGAGUGCAAACGCAAAAGCCAGCUUAACCGUGAGGCAGACAAGCCGAACGGAGACGAAAGUCGGAGUUAGUGAUCAGGCGGUAGUGAAUGGGAAUGCCGUCGCUCAACGGAUAAAAGUUACCCUGGGGAUAACAGGCUGAUACCCCCCAAGAGUUCACAUCGACGGGGGUGUUUGGCACCUCGAUGUCGGCUCAUCACAUCCUGGAGCUGUAGUAGGUUCCAAGGGUUCGGCUGUUCGCCGAUUAAAGUGGUACGCGAGCUGGGUUCAGAACGUCGCGAGACAGUUCGGUCCCUAUCUGUCGUAGGCGAAGGAUAUUUGAAAGAGGCUGUCCCUAGUACGAGAGGACCGGGAUGGACGCACCUCUGGUGCACCGGUUGUCACGCCAGUGGCAUAGCCGGGCAGCUAAGUGCGGGCGAGAUAAACGCUGAAAGCAUCUAAGCGUGAAGCUCAUUUUAAGAUAAGAUAUCCAGUUUAGCUCGAGCAAUCGAGCCAAAACAGAAACCCCCUUUAGACCAAAGGGUAAAUAGGACGGAAGUAUACGCAUGGCGACAUGUUAAGCUAGCCGAUUCCUAAUAGGUUCAAAGCUUU